GGGCGCGCCUAACACAUGCAAGUCGAACGAGCGAGAGAGAGCUUGCUUUCUCGAGCGAGUGGCGAACGGGUGAGUAACGCGUGAGGAACCUGCCUCAAAGAGGGGGACAACAGUUGGAAACGACUGCUAAUACCGCAUAAGCCCACGGCUCGGCAUCGAGCAGAGGGAAAAGGAGCAAUCCGCUUUGAGAUGGCCUCGCGUCCGAUUAGCUAGUUGGUGAGGUAAUGGCCCACCAAGGCGACGAUCGGUAGCCGGACUGAGAGGUUGAACGGCCACAUUGGGACUGAGACACGGCCCAGACUCCUACGGGAGGCAGCAGUGGGGAAUAUUGCACAAUGGGGGAAACCCUGAUGCAGCGACGCCGCGUGGAGGAAGAAGGUCUUCGGAUUGUAAACUCCUGUUGUUGGGGAAGAUAAUGACGGUACCCAACAAGGAAGUGACGGCUAACUACGUGCCAGCAGCCGCGGUAAAACGUAGGUCACAAGCGUUGUCCGGAAUUACUGGGUGUAAAGGGAGCGCAGGCGGGAAGACAAGUUGGAAGUGAAAUCUAUGGACUCAACCCAUAAACUGCUUUCAAAACUGUUUUUCUUGAGUAGUGCAGAGGUAGGCGGAAUUCCCGGUGUAGCGGUGGAAUGCGUAGAUAUCGGGAGGAACACCAGUGGCGAAGGCGGCCUACUGGGCACCAACUGACGCUGAGGCUCGAAAGUGUGGGUAGCAAACAGGAUUAGAUACCCUGGUAGUCCACACCGUAAACGAUGAUUACUAGGUGUUGGAGGAUUGACCCCUUCAGUGCCGCAGUUAACACAAUAAGUAAUCCACCUGGGGAGUACGACCGCAAGGUUGAAACUCAAAGGAAUUGACGGGGGCCCGCACAAGCAGUGGAGUAUGUGGUUUAAUUCGACGCAACGCGAAGAACCUUACCAAGUCUUGACAUCCCUUGACAGACAUAGAAAUAUGUUUUCUCUUCGGAGCAAGGAGACAGGUGGUGCAUGGUUGUCGUCAGCUCGUGUCGUGAGAUGUUGGGUUAAGUCCCGCAACGAGCGCAACCCUUAUGGUCAGUUACUACGCAAGAGGACUCUGGCCAGACUGCCGUUGACAAAACGGAGGAAGGUGGGAAUGACGUCAAAUCAUCAUGCCCUUUAUGACUUGGGCUACACACGUACUACAAUGGCGUUAAACAAAGAGAAGCAAGACCGCGAGGUGGAGCAAAACUCAGAAACAACGUCCCAGUUCGGACUGCAGGCUGCAACUCGCCUGCACGAAGUCGGAAUUGCUAGUAAUCGUGGAUCAGCAUGCCACGGUGAAUACGUUCCCGGGCCUUGCACA
rnacentral:rRNA from 1 species